rnacentral:rRNA from 1 species
UACGGGGGGGGCAAGCGUUGUUCGGAAUUACUGGGCGUAAAGGGCUCGUAGGCGGCCAACUAAGUCAUACGUGAAAUCCCUCGGCUUAACCGGGGAACUGCGUCUGAUACUGGAUGGCUUGAGUUCGGGAGAGGGAUGCGGAAUUCCAGGUGUAGCGGUGAAAUGCGUAGAUAUCUGGAGGAACACCGGUGGCGAAGGCGGCAUCCUGGACCAUGACUGACGCUGAGGAGCGAAAGCCAGGGGAGCAAACGGG